GUCGUACGCUUCUUUUUCCACCGGAGCUUGCUCCACCGGAAAAAGAAGAGUGGCGAACGGGUGAGUAACACGUGGGUAACCUGCCCAUCAGAAGGGGAUAACACUUGGAAACAGGUGCUAAUACCGUAUAACAAUCGAAACCGCAUGGUUUUGAUUUGAAAGGCGCUUUCGGGUGUCGCUGAUGGAUGGACCCGCGGUGCAUUAGCUAGUUGGUGAGGUAACGGCUCACCAAGGCCACGAUGCAUAGCCGACCUGAGAGGGUGAUCGGCCACAUUGGGACUGAGACACGGCCCAAACUCCUACGGGAGGCAGCAGUAGGGAAUCUUCGGCAAUGGACGAAAGUCUGACCGAGCAACGCCGCGUGAGUGAAGAAGGUUUUCGGAUCGUAAAACUCUGUUGUUAGAGAAGAACAAGGAUGAGAGUAACUGUUCAUCCCUUGACGGUAUCUAACCAGAAAGCCACGGCUAACUACGUGCCAGCAGCCGCGGUAAUACGUAGGUGGCAAGCGUUGUCCGGAUUUAUUGGGCGUAAAGCGAGCGCAGGCGGUUUCUUAAGUCUGAUGUGAAAGCCCCCGGCUCAACCGGGGAGGGUCAUUGGAAACUGGGAGACUUGAGUGCAGAAGAGGAGAGUGGAAUUCCAUGUGUAGCGGUGAAAUGCGUAGAUAUAUGGAGGAACACCAGUGGCGAAGGCGGCUCUCUGGUCUGUAACUGACGCUGAGGCUCGAAAGCGUGGGGAGCAAACAGGAUUAGAUACCCUGGUAGUCCACGCCGUAAACGAUGAGUGCUAAGUGUUGGAGGGUUUCCGCCCUUCAGUGCUGCAGCUAACGCAUUAAGCACUCCGCCUGGGGAGUACGACCGCAAGGUUGAAACUCAAAGGAAUUGACGGGGGCCCGCACAAGCGGUGGAGCAUGUGGUUUAAUUCGAAGCAACGCGAAGAACCUUACCAGGUCUUGACAUCCUUUGACCACUCUAGAGAUAGAGCUUCCCCUUCGGGGGCAAAGUGACAGGUGGUGCAUGGUUGUCGUCAGCUCGUGUCGUGAGAUGUUGGGUUAAGUCCC
rnacentral:rRNA from 1 species